GACGAACGCUGGCGGCGUGCUUAACACAUGCAAGUCGAACGGAAAGGCCCUGCUUUUGUGGGGUGCUCGAGUGGCGAACGGGUGAGUAACACGUGAGUAACCUGCCCUUGACUUUGGGAUAACUUCAGGAAACUGGGGCUAAUACCGGAUAGGAGCUCCUGCUGCAUGGUGGGGGUUGGAAAGUUUCGGCGGUUGGGGAUGGACUCGCGGCUUAUCAGCUUGUUGGUGGGGUAGUGGCUUACCAAGGCUUUGACGGGUAGCCGGCCUGAGAGGGUGACCGGCGACAAUGGGACUGAGAUACGGACCAGAAUCCUACGGGAGGCAGCAGGGGGGAAUAUUGCACAAUGGGCGGAAGCCUGAUGCAGCAACGCCGCGUGCGGGAUGACGGCCUUCGGGUUGUAAACCGCUUUCGCCUGUGACGAAGCGUGAGUGACGGUAAUGGGUAAAGAAGCACCGGCUAACUACGUG
rnacentral:rRNA from 1 species